AUCAGUUCUGCGAGGCCCUCAAGGCGGGUGCGCUGCGGCAGGUCAACGCGGGGUCGGAUUUCGUCCGCAACCUGGGCAGGAGGGCAGCGCGUGAGGGGUCUCAGCAGCGGCUUCGCUCGAUGCUCAAGUCGGUG
rnacentral:SRP_RNA from 1 species